rnacentral:lncRNA from 1 species
GGCCAUUCCUUCAUGUUAAUAUCUCAUACGCUAUUUUGCAAUGACUUGGGUCAUUUCCAGUUGUUAAUGCUUAUGGAUAGACCUACAAGGAACAUAUGAAAGAGUUAUUUUUCCUCCUUAAAUAAGGUCAAAAGGUGUGCUGAGUUUAGAGCUCUCGUUAGAUUGCUGCCGGAUUCCUCUCUGGCUGAAGUGCCACCAGCCACAUUUCAGGGCUUCAGCUUUCCCACAGCCCCCUCUAAACAGUUUCAUUUUUAUUUAUUUUGGUUUGUGUAAAGAUGCCUUGGAAUGGUUUCAUUGUUAUUUUAAAAUUGCUGAUGUGGUUUGAUGAGAACUAAUUUAGAUAACAUGUACCCAGACCCUAACACAGAGCCUGGCAUAUAGUAAGCUAUUAUUAUUGUUGUUGUUCUCAUCCUCACCUACUUGAGAUUUUCUUUAUGUGUUUGUGGCAAGGGUUGUUUCUCCUUUUAGCUACAAAACAGGUCCUUCCCAGUCUGCGUGCUGCCUCCUGGCUCCAGCCUCUGGUCUCGUCUCUUUUCUCACACUGGCAGUGAGUUCAUCAAGGCUCAUGUCUUUUCUCUUCUCUGUCCUUUUCUUUUUUAUGCCCACGCCUACAGCACAUGGAGGUUUCCAGGCUAGGGGUUGAAUUGGAGCUGCAGCCAGUCUACACCACAGCCACUCAGUGUUGGAAUCCGAGCCACAUCUGCGACCUAUAGCGCAGCUCACAAAACGCUGGAUCCUCAACCCACUGAGUGUGCGAGGCCAGGGAUGGAACCCGCAUCUUCAUGGAUACUAGUCAGGCUCCUAACCCACUGAGCCACAACGGGAGCUCCUGGGCUCAUGUCUUUAAUACCACCUCUAUGCUGGCAGCUCACGUCCAUACCUGGAGUCUAGUCCUCUCUCCUCUACUCCACGCAUGUCUCACUGCCUAUUCAACAGCUCCACUCGGAUGUGGCAUCUCAAAUCCAGCCCCUACACCUGACUUCCUGCUCCCACAUCUCAUCGAAUGGCAACACCAUCCUCCCAGGUGCUCAAGUUAAAACCUUUGCAUCUUCCUUGACUCCAAUUUUUCUCUCACACUCCACAUCCAGUCUCUAAAUCCCCUGAGCACUAUCUUCAAAAUAUACCCAGAACUGGCCCUAGAAGAGGCAAAAAGACAAAAAAAGAAAAAAAAAAAAUAUAUAUAUAUACACACACCCAGAACUGAGCGAUUUCUCACUACAUCCACAGGCGCUGCCCCCACCAAGACACCGUCAUCUCACACGUGUUAUCUUUCACCUCUCGCCUAACUGAGCUUCCUACUUGUGCCCCUGUCCAUCCUCAGCAUUUCAGCCUUGACCUUGGCCUUCCUCCUACUCAUGGGAAGUCUGCUAUUGUCCCAGCUCCAUGGUGAGUUAUGACAACGUUCAGUGGAAGAAGAGGGCAUCUCUCAUUAAAGGUGAGAAAACCAUUUGCGGAAGCUCUCCAGUAGGGCUCCCCUCACUUGCUUGUCCCUAAACCCGUCACUGGCAGGGGGCAUGGGAUCACUGGACUGACUUAGGCUAAUCAGGAUAACCCUUGAGCUGGGGACAGGGUUCUCUUUGGUGACAGGUGGACCGCCAAGCAGUCCUAAGGCUCUGUUUGUUGUAAAGUGAGGGACAGAUAUUGAGUAAAUACCCAGAUAGAGUCUGUUGCAAUGUGGGACAUCAGAGAGUCAGCAGGAGAGUCCAAUUACUUUUCUGAGCUGCUCAGUGUCAGUGGCCCCGGGGCCCACAGGCCUUGGCCAUGUACAAAGGAGCAGAGGUUGCUUGUGGACCACACAUGCUGUGGGAUGGGGCAGGUCACGUGGGUGUCUUUCUGCCUCCCAGGAGAUUCCUUCUUUUCCUUCUUCCUUCCUCUUCCCACCCUCCCUCUUCCACCUUCCUUCCUUCCUUUCUUUUCCCUUUCUGGCUGCAUCCAUGGCGUAUAGAAUUUCCCUGGCUAGGGAUCAAAUCGGAGCCACGUCUGCAAACUAUGCCACAGCUACAGCAAUGCCAGAUGUUUAACCCCCCGUGCUGCAGUGGGAACUCUAAGAUUCCUACUUUUCUCUCUCUUUUUUAAUUAGAGUAUAGUUGGUCUACAGUGUGGUGUCAAUUUCUGCUGUGACCCAGUGACCCAGUGACCCAGUGACCCAGGCACACAUACAUACACGUUCUUUUUCUCAUACGAUCUUCCGUCAUGUUCUACCCCAAGAGACUGGAUACAGUUCCCGGUGCUCUACAGUAAGAUCUCAUUGCUUAUCCAUUCCAAAAGUAAUCGUUUGCAUCUACCAAUCUCAAAAUCCCCCCUGGCAACCACAAGUCUGCUUUCCCUGUCUGUGAUCUGUUUCUGUUUUGUAGGUAGGAUCAUUUGUGCUAUAUUUGAUUUUGUUUUAUUUUAUUUUUUUGUCUUUUUGCCAUUUCUUGGGCCACUCCCACAGCAUAUGGAGGUUCCUAGGCUAGGGGUCAAAUUGGAGCUGUAGCCGCCAGCCUACGCCAGAGCCACAGCAACGUGGGAUCCGAGCCUCAUCUUUGACCUACACCACAGCUCAUGGCAACACCAGAUCCUUAACCCACUGAGCAAGGGCAGAGAUUGAACCCGCAACCUCAUGGUUCUUAGUCGGAUUUGUUUCCGCUACACCACGGUGGGAAGUCCUAAAUUUUCUUUAUAAACUAUUGUAUGUUGAGGCUUGACUUGAAUUUGUUAUGAAGGUAACUAACAUUUUGAUGAUAAAAAUGCACAAAACAUGUUUCUUGCUUUUAAAGAGUGAAGCAAAUUACUGACUGGUUUAAACAACCAGUAGCCGUGAAUUAAGGGUUACAGUGUUUACAGAGCCAGUAUAAAGAUGUUGUGUAUUAAAUUCCUUUUUUUCCUUUUAGUUGUUCAUGCCCAGGUUAUGACUCCCUAGGGGACUAACGGGGCAAAGCUUAAUCCCACUGCGCGCCCCUCAUUAGAUACCCAAAUUCCAGACUGUGCUUAGGAGGAGGCGCCUCCGUAGACCUUAUUCUCAUCAAACGACUGCAGGUGAAGUUUGCAUUUUUCAUUUCAGUGCAUCGCUGUUUCAAGUUUUAUCUGUAAGCCAGUAAGUUUUUAUUUCGUUCAUCGCUUCCAUUUAACAGAACCAUUUUUAAGACCCGUGGGUGGAAUUAACUUGACGCUAGAGCAUUUCUAGCCUUGGGAUUCCUGGGGAUUGGAAGAGCCAAAGGCAGAACAAGGAAGCAUCACAAUGAGAUGGAAGCUCCCAUUGUUUUCCUCUGAAAAAGACGCUUCUCAUCACCUUCUCCCAGUGCUCUUGCCCACACACCCACAUCACCCUGGUACUAAGGCGCUUCCAGUUCACAAGCGUUUCCCCUGUGGAUCCCGCAGGGGUGGGCGGGUGUCCCCUCUCCACCAAAGUCCGCUGCAGCCUUCCUGAUGCCUCAGCAGCUGGUACUUCUUCCUCUGGGCCUCUUUCCCCAGGGGAAGAGGAUUGGCCGUCUCACUGAGUUCACUGGAGGCAAACUUGACAUUCAGGCUAAUAUUUCUCUGACUGCAUGUCUUGUUUACGCAAUGCCACCGCGGAGGGGCCAGCCCCUGGCAUUUCCAUCCUGCGGUAUUUAUGGGCUGUCAUCACAGGAAGUCGGCACUUCCAAGCUCUCCCUCCAUCCCCACACAGGCAGGCCGGAAAUCCGUCGCUCUGGAGCCCAGCACGGGAGGCGGCUUGAACCAACUCAGAGUCUAGUUCACUCGGAAGUCGUCCAAGUAAAAGGUCAGCGUUUGAGCGCUUCACACCUCUGAGCCCAGACACCCUCCCUCCUGUGUUGUCCUAGAGCCUCGCCCAGCCUGCUGCCCGGGCAGCUGCUACGGGCUGCUCACCUGCGCUGCAUCAGGCCAUUUCCAAGCUGCUGGAACAGGUAGCUCAGGCUCUGGCUGCUGAGAACAGGCCUGGCGGGGAGCUACCCACCAGCUCCUCUCUUGCGGACCUCACUUCACCUGGGAUGGUUUUUGACCUUUCAAAGUUAGUGACUCCUGAGCAGUUAUAGACAGCUCUGUUAUUGUGGGUUCAGGCCUGAGGAUGGUUUAUCAUCUUGUAAUUCUGAGAAGAAAAGGGACAGGAGAAAGGUAGCUUUGAAUUAACUGUUUUGCCAUAACACACUUUUCAAAAUUAUUUAAGAAACAGAUUGUCACAACUCUCACAAGUUUUAUGUUUUGCAUGGUGUUUUGUUUCAAAUUUUUUUUAAAGCUGUAACGAUGUAGAUGUUUUCUAUGCUUGAAAAUACACGUUAUGGGGUCCCUGAUGGCUUAGCAGGUUAAGGAUCCGGCCUUGUCACUGCUGUGGCAUGGUUUCGAUCCCUGGCCCUGGAACUUCGCAAGCAGGGCCAAAAUAAUACUAAUAAUUAUACUACUACUAAUAACAAUAAUAAUACAUGUUACUUAAUAACAUUUUAUAAAUAUAUCCCUAACUUUCUAUACAAUCUUUAUAACAAUUUUAAUGUCUACCUAAUUCACCGAGUUGCCAUGUAUCACAGAUGACAUAACGUGUACUUGUUGCAUUUUUAGAUUUUUGCUGAGGUGUUUAGUUAAGAAGAUGUCAUAGAAUGCAAUAAAUACUCUGCAGAGGGGGUGUGAGGGGUGUCACAGAGAGGGGUUCUCGUUUCCAUUGCCAUGUAAGGGCAACGGGCACCUUGGGGAUGGUUGAAGCGGCUGCCACCAAUCUGCAAGCUCACCCAACUCCCAGGACCCUGUCCUUCCCAGCACAAUGCAGUCGCGUGUGCACCCACACAGACGCGCACACAGACACCCACCGAACACCAGAGGGGCCUUCCCCCCUCUCUGCCCGGCUCCUGGGUCCACUCCCUGGACCACCUGCACGCCACCCCCCAGGCAUGUCUGAUCUCUGGGUCCCAGGUCCUCUCAUGGGCCCAUCCUGCCUCUGAAAGAAUCGCUCUCCAGUCGGAACUCAGAACAGACAUGCAGGGAGCUGCUGUGAAUGACGCGUUUGGCAGCUGCCAUUUUACAGCCUGUCUGAAAAGCGGCACGGGCGUCCCACUCUCAGUCAUUUGGGUCCUCCAUGGAUCACCUCCAAAGUCACACCUCUCCAGGUCUCCACGGUGCCCGGGCCUGUACUCAGGUCUAGGAUGUAAUGAUGUCUCUGGGUUUGAGACGUCAGGACUGCACGAGCCAGGAGCCUCUUGCUGUUCUCAGCCAUCAGCUCUUGAACAUUUCUAAGCGGAUGAA